CCUACGGGAGGCAGCAGUGAGGAAUAUUGGUCAAUGGACGAGAGUCUGAACCAGCCAAGUAGCGUGAAGGAUGACUGCCCUAUGGGUUGUAAACUUCUUUUAUAUGGGAAUAAAAUGUUCCACGUGUGGGAUUUUGUAUGUACCAUAUGAAUAAGGAUCGGCUAACUCCGUGCCAGCAGCCGCGGUAAUACGGAGGAUCCGAGCGUUAUCCUGAUUUAUUGGGUUUAAAGGGAGCGUAGGUGGAUUGUUAAGUCAGUUGUGAAAGUUUGCGGCUCAACCGUAAAAUUGCAGUUGAAACUGGCAGUCUUGAGUACAGUAGAGGUGGGCGGAAUUCGUGGUGUAGCGGUGAAAUGCUUAGAUAUCACGAAGAACUCCGAUUGCGAAGGCAGUUCACUGGACUGCAACUGACACUGAGGCUCGAAAGUGUGGGUAUCAAACAGGAUUAGAUACCCCAGUAGUC
rnacentral:rRNA from 1 species